rnacentral:rRNA from 1 species
AACGACACGUGAGGCUCGAAGAAGCGUGGGCGAGCAAACAGGAUAGAUACUCUGUUGCGUCCACGAGAAGAACGAUGAGUGCAGAUGUAGGAAAGCUCAUCAAGUGAUCGGUAACUACCCAGAAAGGGACGCCAAUAAGCUACGUGCCAGCAGCCGCGGUAAUACGUAGGUCCGCAAGCGUUGAAACUCAAAGGAAUUGACGGGGGCCCGCACAAGCGAUGCAGCAGGUGGUUUAAUUAGAAGUCAACGCGUAAGAACGCUUACCAGGUCUCAACCAUACUCGUGCUAUGCAUAGAGAAACUGGAAGAUCCUUCGAGUGACACGGGAGACGAGAGUGGAAAUCCAUGGUUGUAGUCAGCUCGAAAUGUCGUGAGAUAUAUGGAGGAAAGUCACCGGUUGCAACGAGCGCAACCCCUAUUGUUAGUUGCCAUCAUUAAGUUGGGCACUCUAACGAGACUGCCGGUGAUAAACCGGAGGAAGGUGGGGAUGACGUCAAAUCAUCAUGCCCCUUAUGACCUGGGCUACACACGUGCUACAAUGGAUGGUACAACGAGUCGCGAGACAGUGAUGUUUAGCUAAUCUCUUAAAACCAUUCUCAGUUCGGAUUGUAGGCUGCAACUUGCCUACAUGAAGUCGGAAUCGCUGGUAAUCGCGGAUCAGCACGCCGCGGUGAAUACGUUCCCGGGCCUUGUACACACCGCCCGUCACACCACCGGAGUUAGGA